rnacentral:lncRNA from 1 species
CUAGAGUUACGCUUCUGGUAUAACUUCCUAUUCUGUGGUUUGGAGAAGACAAGAUGGCGACGGUUUACUUCGUGUCGUCAAAGGGCAUUUUUGUUCACAAAUACCCGCUUAUUUUACGUUAUAACGACUGCUUAGUUUUGGAAAUUGUAACUCAAUGGACAGGGAAAACGAUUCUAUGGUAAAGAGAAAAAUACGUGCAGUUUAUAUUGACUUUAUAUUGUGAUGUUAUUUGUUGUGAAAGACGGCCGGAAAUUUCGCUACAUCGCUGUACUGGCAAUUCGACCAUGGAUAAAGAGACAACGCUUGAAUGAAAGAACAGCCUGUCUUAAUGGUAAGUUUUUAAAGGGUUUUCACUUUUCGGUAAAUAUAAAGUUUAAAGGGGAAGUCAAGUCCGUUCUGCAGACCUCUGAAUGUAAACAUUGCCCAUGUUUCGAAUUUUUCUGAACAUAAACUCUAUUUCAUAUUCAUUUAGAAGCAUAGCGAACCAAAAUGGUGUUAGAUAUUCAGACAGUACAUCAUAUUUUAAAAAAUACAGCAGUUCAAAAUGUAAACAAACCGUUUGUACAUUACGGACUUCGGGACUUGACUUCCACUUAAUUUAAAGGGUCGUACAUUAAUUACCGACAACUACCGUCAACAACCGACAAUGGGCUAUUCCAUUUAAUAUCCGUACCCCCCUGUCGAGGAUACCUGGAAUUCUUCAGGGGUAGAGUGUUUUGAGCUUGGAAUUCUUCAGGGGUAAAGGAUUUUGAGCCUGGAAUUCUUCAGGGGUAAAGGAUUUUGAGCUUGGAAUUCUUCAGUGGUAAAGGAUUUUGGGCUUGGAAUUCUUCAGGGGUAAAGGAUUUUGAGUUUGGAAUUCUUCAGGGGUCCAGUGUUUUGAGUUUGGAAUUCUUCAGGGGUACAGUGUUUUGAGCUUGGAAUUCUUAAGGGGUAAAGGAUUUUGAGUUUGGAAUUCUUCAGGGGUAAAGGAUUUUGAGCCUGGAAUUCUUCAGGGGUAAAGGAUUUUGAGUUUGGAAUUCUUCAGGGGUAAAGGAUUUUGAGCUUGGAAUUCUUCAGGGGUAAAGGAUUUUGAGUUUGGAAUUCUUCAGGGGUACAGUGUUUUGAGCUUGGAAUUCUUAAGGGGUAAAGGAUUUUGAGUUUGGAAUUCUUCAGGGGUAAAGUGUUUUGAGUUUGGAAUUCUUCAGGGGUAGAGGAUUCGAGCUUGGAAUUCUUCAGGGGUAAAGAGGUUUGAGAUCGAAAUUUUUCAGAGUUUGGAAUUCUUCAGGGGUAAAGUGUUUUGAGUUUGGAAUUCUUCAGGGGUAGAGUGUUUUGAGCUUGGAAUUCUUCAGGGGUAAAGGAUUUUGAGCUUGGAAUUCUUCAGGGGUAUAACUAUGAAAAACAUGUAUCCUCGACAGGGGGGGUACGGAUAUUAAAUGGAAUAGCCCGUUUUAACAUCCCUAUUAAAAUGCUAUUUAAUCAAGUAUGUGAACAAUUUCAAAGCUGUUCACAACAAAGCUAAUAUAAAAACAAGCUGAAACUUUCAAUGUCUACAAUACCACACUUGACAAUUAGUUUUAUUUCAAAAUAAACAACAUUUAAUAGCAAUGGCCACGCAAAGAUGAGUGCACUCUGUGCCCAGUCCAUAGGCCCAGUCACAUACUGUACAGUCAGUUGAGG